GAUGAAGAACGUAGCGAAAUGCGAUAACUAAUGUGAAUUGCAGAAUUCAGUGAAUCAUCGAGUCUUUGAACGCACAUUGCGCCCCCUGGUAUUCCGGGGGGCAUGCCUGUCCGAGCGUCAUUGCUGCCCUCAAGCACGGCUUGUGUGUUGGGCUCCGUCCCCCCGGGGACGGGCCCGAAAGGCAGCGGCGGCAUCGAGUCCGGUCCUCGAGCGUAUGGGGCUUUGUCACCCGCUCUGUAGGCCCGGCCGGCGCCAGCCGACAACCCAUCAUCCUUUUCAGGUUGACCUCGGAUCAGGUAGGGAUACCCGCUGAACUUAAGCAUAUCAAUAAGCGGAGGA
rnacentral:misc_RNA from 1 species